rnacentral:rRNA from 1 species
UACGGGGGGGGCAAGCGUUGUUCGGAAUUACUGGGCGUAAAGGGCUCGUAGGCGGCCAACUAAGUCAGACGUGAAAUCCCUCGGCUUAACCGGGGAACUGCGUCUGAUACUGGAUGGCUCGAGUUUGGGAGAGGGAUGCGGAAUUCCAGGUGUAGCGGUGAAAUGCGUAGAUAUCUGGAGGAACGCCGGUGGCGAAGGCGGCAUCCUGGACCAACACUGACGCUGAUGAGCGAAAGCCAGGGGAGCAAACGGG